rnacentral:rRNA from 1 species
CACUAAGCGGGAGGUAAACUCCUUCUAAGACUAAAUAUUGCCAUGAGACCGAUAGCGAACAAGUACCGUGAGGGAAAGUUGAAAAGCACUCUGAAUAGAGAGUCAAAAAGUACGUGAAACUGUCUAGGGUUAAGAAAGCAUGAAGUGUCUAAAUAUCUGAAUGGAGAAAUUCAGUAUCAUAUUGUUGUAGUAAUAUUAUUUUACGAAGCAUAUGGUGUGCACUUUUCUCCUUGUAAGACACUGCGAUCCAUUAGAACCUUGUGUUAAUAACUACCAUGUUGUGAGUUAUUAUAUCUAUCAAUGGGCCUGGCAUGGAGCUUACAUAUUUAAUGUUAGUACUAUAUAUUGUUAAGGUGAUAUACAGGAAAGCAAUGUAAACUGCUGGUGUCUCGUAUAGAUGUCUGAUGGAUUUUAAGCGAUCACAAUAUGACAUCCUUGUGGUGUAACCAGUAAUGGUUUAUUGUAUUGUGUCGGAUCAGCAGUGUAUUUGUUUAGUAAUCUUCAUGA